rnacentral:rRNA from 1 species
CCUACGGGUGGCAGCAGUGAGGAAUAUUUGUCAAUGGACGAGAGUCUGAACCAGCCAAGUCGCGUGAAGGAUGACUGCCCUAUGGGUUGUAAACCUCUUUUAUAUGGGAAUAAAAUGUUCAACGUGUGGGCUUUUGUAUGUACCAUAUGAAUAAGGAUCGGCUAACUCCGUGCCAGCAGCCGCGUUAAUACGGAGGAUCCGAGCGUUAUCCGGAUUUAUUGGGUUUAAAGGGAGCGUAGGUGGAUAGUUAAGUCAGUUGUGAAAGUUUGCGGCUCAACCGUCGAAUUGCAGUUGAAACUGGCAGUCUUGAGUACAGGAGAGGUGGGCGGAAUUCGUGGUGUAGCGGUGAAAUGCAUAGAUAUCACGAAGAACUCCGAUUGCGAAGGCAGCUCACUGGACUGCAACUGACGCUGAGGCUCGAAAGUGUGGGUAUCAAACAGGAUUAGAUACCCUUGUAGUC